rnacentral:rRNA from 1 species
CCUACGGGAGGCAGCAGUGGGGAAUAUUGGACAAUGGGCGAAAGCCUGAUCCAGCAAUGCCGCGUGAGUGAUGAAGGCCUUCGGGUCGUAAAGCUCUUUUACCAGGGAUGAUAAUGACAGUACCUGGAGAAUAAGCUCCGGCUAACUCCGUGCCAGCAGCCGCGGUAAUACGGAGGGAGCUAGCGUUGUUCGGAAUUACUGGGCGUAAAGAGUACGUAGGCGGUUAUUCAAGUCAGAGGUGAAAGCCCGGGGCUCAACCCCGGAACUGCCUUUGAAACUAGAUAACUAGAGUCUUGGAGAGGUUAGUGGAAUUCCGAGUGUAGAGGUGAAAUUCGUAGAUAUUCGGAAGAACACCAGUGGCGAAGGCGACUAACUGGACAAGUACUGACGCUGAGGUACGAAAGCGUGGGGAGCAAACAGGAUUAGAUACCCUGGUAGUCCACGCCGUAAACGAUGAUAACUAGUUGUUCGGUCACUUGGUGACUGAGUGACGCAGCUAACGCAUUAAGUUAUCCGCCUGGGGAUACGGUCGCAAGNUUAAAACUCAAAGGAAUUGACGG